AGAGUUUGAUCCUGGCUCAGGAUGAACGCUGGCGGUAUGCCUAACACAUGCAAGUCGUACGAGGGUUUUUAACUCUAGUGGCGGACGGGUGAGUAACACGUGAGAAUUUGCCUUUAGGAGGGGGAUAACAAUCGGAAACGAAUGCUAAUACCCCAUAUGCUUUCGAGUGAAACGGAUUUAUCCGCCUAAAGAGAAGCUCGCGGCUGAUUAGCUUGUUGGUAAGGUAAGAGCUUACCAAGGCGACGAUCAGUAUCUGGUUUGAGAGGACGAUCAGACACACUGGAACUGAGACACGGUCCAGACUCCUACGGGAGGCAGCAGUGGGGAAUUUUCCGCAAUGGGCGAAAGCCUGACGGAGCAAUACCGCGUGAGGGAAGACUGCCUAUGGGUUGUAAACCUCUUUUUUCAGGGAGGAAUAAAAUGACGUGUACCUGAAGAAUAAGCAUCGGCUAACUCCGUGCCAGCAGCCGCGGUAAGACGGAGGAUGCAAGUGUUAUCCGGAAUCACUGGGCGUAAAGCGUCUGUAGGUGGCUUAAUAAGUCAACUGUUAAAUCUUGAGGCUCAACUUCAAAAUCGCAGUCGAAACUAUUAGACUAGAGUAUAGUAGAGGUAAAGGGAAUUUCCAGUGGAGCGGUGAAAUGCGUAGAUAUUGGAAAGAACACCGAUGGCGAAAGCACUUUACUGGGCUAUUACUAACACUCAGAGACGAAAGCUAGGGUAGCAAAUGGGAUUAGAUACCCCAGUAGUCCUAGCCGUAAACUAUGGAUACUAGAUGUUGAACAGAUCGACCUGUGCAGUAUCAAAGCUAACGCGUUAAGUAUCCCGCCUGGGAAGUAUGCUCGCAAGAGUGAAACUCAAAGGAAUUGACGG
rnacentral:rRNA from 1 species